GAUGAACGCUGGCGGCGUGCCUAAUACAUGCAAGUCGAGCGAAUGGAUUAAGAGCUUGCUCUUAUGAAGUUAGCGGCGGACGGGUGAGUAACACGUGGGUAACCUGCCCAUAAGACUGGGAUAACUCCGGGAAACCGGGGCUAAUACCGGAUAACAUUUUGAACCACAUGGUUCGAAAUUGAAAGGCGGCUUCGGCUGUCACUUAUGGAUGGACCUGCGUCGCAUUAGCUAGUUGGUGAGGUAACGGCUCACCAAGGCAACGAUGCGUAGCCGACCUGAGAGGGUGAUCGGCCACACUGGGACUGAGACACGGCCCAGACUCCUACGGGAGGCAGCAGUAGGGAAUCUUCCGCAAUGGACGAAAGUCUGACGAAGCAACGCCGCGUGAGUGAUGAAGGCUUUCGGGUCGUAAAACUCUGUUGUUAGGGAAGAACAAGUGCUAGUUGAAUAAGCUGGCACCUUGACGGUACCUAACCAGAAAGCCACGGCUAACUACGUGCCAGCAGCCGCAGUAA
rnacentral:rRNA from 1 species